UCUGAACAUCUGAAGUCCCAGCUACUUAGGAGGCUGAGGUGGGAGUAUUGCUUGAGUCCAGGAGUUCGGGGCCAUAGUAUGCGAUGCUGAUUGGGUGUCCACACUAAGUUUGGCAUCAAUAUGGUGACUUCCCAGGAGUUGGGGACUACCAGGUGGCCUAAGGAGGGGUGAAUCAGCCCAGGUCGGAAAUGAAGCAGACCAAAAACUACUGUGCUGGUCACUAGUGGGAUCACGCCUGUAAGUAGUGGGCAAUAUAGAGACCUGGGCAACAUAGAGAGACCCUGUAU
rnacentral:SRP_RNA from 10 species